rnacentral:rRNA from 1 species
ACAUGCCUACAUCAUAGCGUUAAUGCAUCGAAUCCCAUUAGAAUUCCACAAUUAAGUGUGCUUGACCUAGAGUAGUAAUGGGAUGGGUGACCAACCGAGAAGUCCUAGUGUUUUACAUGCC